GUCUGUAACGCAUUGGAUAACGCGUUGGACUUCUGAUCCAACGGUUGUGGGCUUGAAUCCCACCUGGGAUA